AGAGAAGAUUAGUGUGGCCCCUUCAUAAGGAUGAUAUGCAAAUUUGUGAAGUGUUCCAUAUUUUU
rnacentral:snRNA from 1 species